CUUCCACCUGCCUGCAGUCUGAUUGCAGCAAUGAGAAUCAGCUGCCGUAAUUGACUCACACCAGUCACCUGUUUGCAAUUCCACCUCCCAGCAUAUAAGCCAGCUCUGUCAUUCACUCCCUGCUCCACCAUGGAGUCGCAUAUCUUGCGUCGACUCAUGACCACCAGAGCUUCUUGGACACGACUCUGCCCUUGUACCCCUGCCGGUUCCUGUUUGGGUUUCCUACCUACCCCUUCAGCUGAGUUUCUUCCUGUUCCCUUCCUUCCUGACCGUUCCACCUGCCUGCAGUCUGAUUGCAGCAAUGAGAAUCAGCUGCCGUAAUUGACUCACACCAGUCACCUGUUUGCAAUUCCACCUCCCAGCAUAUAAGCCAGCUCUGUCAUUCACUCCCUGCUCCACCAUGGACUUGCAUAUCCUGCAUCAACUCAUGACCACCAGAGCUUCUUGGACACGAUGCUGCCCUUGUACCCCUGCCGGUUCCUGUUUGGGUUUCCUACCUACCCCUUCAGCUGAGUUUCUUCCUGUGACCAUCUGCUACAAAGCAUUACUGGGUAACAAAUACACCUGAUGAAGAUCAGAAAUAUUCAAGCAGAAACCUUCAGCGUCCACGAAGGUGGAAGUCAUUCUGCCAUGAAGACCUAACAACCUUCAAAGACAAUUUGAAAAUGGGUAAGAAAUGAAAGCACACACUGUUUAGUCUAGACCAUCAUUUGUGCUGACAUCUGUGCUUUUAGAUUCUAUCAAGACGGGGGAAAAAAAAUGAUAAGUGUAGUCUGUGUAAAAUACAUCACCUGCUUAAGUGUGACUGGCUGGAUUUUGAACUGACCUACUGAUAAAUGUUUCAAAGGUGACACAGACCUUCCUGGAGGAUGUUGCACAAGGAGUUUUGUCAUUGUUGCCACAUUCUGGUGUCCACUCAUUCCACUCGACUCCAUUCCACUCGACUCCAUUCCACUCAACUCCAUUCCACUCGACUCCAUUCCACUCGACUCCAUUCCACUCCAUUCGACUCGACUCCUUUCCACUCGACUCCAUUUGACUGCAUUGAUUGCCUUUUGUAUUUAUAGAUUAUUGUGAGAAAUUGCAAGAAUUGAUUGUUUUUUUAUGUUUUGUACAAGUUUGUUGUCAAUAAAAACAAAAACCUUUAUUGAAAAAAAUUGUUUGGAUUGUAAACCAUUGUUGCAGGAAGAACCUCAGUUGCUGCAACUUGAUUCUCUGUUAUUGUUGCAGGAAGAAUGUCAGUUGCUGCAAGUUGUUGCUCUGUUAUUGUUGCAGGAAGAACGUCGGGCGCUGCAACUUGGUUCUCUGUGUUGUUGCAGGAAGAAUGUCAGUUGCUGCAAGUUGUUGCUCUGUUAUUGUUGCAGGAAGAACGUCAGUUGCUGCAACUUGGUUCUCUGUUGUUGCAGGAAGAAUGUCAGUUGCUGCAAGUUGUUGCUCUGUUAUUGUUGCAGGAAGAACGUCAGUCGCUGCAACUUGGGUCUCUGUUAUUGUUGCAGGAAGAAUGUCAGUUGCUGCAAGUUGUUGCUCUGUUAUUGUUGCAGGAAGAAGUGCUGCGGAGCGCUGCGUCACCCUGCGGAGCGCUGCGUCACCCUGCGAAGCGCUGCGUCACCCUGCGAAGCGCUGCGUCACCCUGCGAAGCCUCAA